AAAUUUGUGAUUUUUUUUGUUUAAUCCAUGAUCGAAUUUUUUUUUUGUAAUCCAUGAUAGAAUUUUUUGAAAAUUUGUGAUUUUUUUUUUAAUCCAUGAUCGAUUUUUUUGAAAAUUUGUUUUUUUUUUUUUUAAUCCAUAUUAUUCAAAGAGAAAACGAGACAGAUGAUGAUUCUGAAGCCACCUUAUCCCAACCAUAUUAUUCACAUAUCGAGUCCCAACAGCAACAGUGUAGGGAUGAGCACGAAAUACUGUAAAUUAAAUGCUGAAUGGCGGUUCAUGCAGGGAAAGAACAUAUCAAUAUUCGCAUAUUCAUUCAAAAACAUGAAAAUUCUUAAUGGAGUACCCUCAUUUUUUAUUGAAUUCCUAAAAAACAAUAUUUAUAAUGAAUUUUAAUAAUUUUUUCGGAUUUUUUUGAAGCCUUAUUCUGACCGAUUCA
rnacentral:lncRNA from 1 species